GAUACAGCAAGGAGUCAUCUGUCUGGAAAAUGGGAAUAGGGCCCUCACUAAGAACCUGACCAUGCUGGCACCUUGAUCUUGGAUUUCCAGCCUCCAGAAUUGUCUGUUUUGGAAACUGUGCAUUUGGUAAAAGCAAUUCGGGAGGACCCAGCGGGAAAGGAAGAGGAUUGAGGGACAGAGCGGAUGAGCUCUUGCGAGCCUGGGAUGGUCACAAAGGCAGCAUGAAGCCCAAGGGAGCGUUGCUGGGAAGGGCAUGAACUCAAGCCAAGGUGUGCCCAGAGUCACCCACCUGCUUUUCUCGAGAGCCAGCAGUAGAGCAGCAGUGCCCCCGCAGCAAGGCCUGCUAUGCUGAGCAGGCCCCCGGCGACUCCUGUGGCAAAAGGGCCACUUCUGUUCGCGGUCAGCCCUGAGGGGGAGACCCUGUGUGUGAGCCAGAGGAGAGGCUGUGGUCUGGAACUGCCCGCUCCCGGAAGCUGCUGCCUGGGCCUGACGGUGAACCUAGUGAGGUGCUUUGAUCAUCUUCAAGAAGACUGCUGGGAAACAUCAGAUUCCUGGAACCAUACCACAAAGGAUCCGAGACUUUCACAGGGAGGUUCUGCAGGCAGGAAGUGUGCUGGGAUGCCACACAAGCAAACAGCCCUGAGGAGCUCUGUGGCUCCAUUUUCAGCUGCAGGGAGAACAGGCACAGUCAGUUCUCAGAUGUGCUGCUGGUGGGCAGGGCCCACUCACCUGCAACUUUCAGUGUCACCAUCUCACUGCGCUGGGCCUCCAGACCAUUGUCUGCCUCACAGGAGUAGAUUCCAGAAUGUUCUGUAGUCAGAGAGAGGUUGAAGGAGGCCCCUCCUCCAGAGGGGGCUGAGAUCUUACCCAGGGUGACAUCUUCAUGAUAAAACCAGUACAGGAUUGGGGAGGAGCCUCUCAGGGCCUCACAGUGAAGCUCCAGCAGGUCCCCCACCACAGCCUGGGCCCUGGGAGCCCUGAAGGUGAGGAUGGGACGAGAUACUGGAACUGAGGGAGGAAAAACGUUAUGUAUCAGCUGCUUCUGCUAAAAUAUAUUCCUUCAUGCUAAAGACAUU
rnacentral:lncRNA from 1 species